GUCAGCCCAGGACCAGGUCUGGAGAUGGUCAUCCAGGGUAAGUCCGUCCAUAGGACGGCGCCAUCUCCACCAAAGGGACUUGGUUUUGGGUGGAGGA
rnacentral:ncRNA from 1 species